AGAGUUUGAUCCUGGCUCAGGAUGAACGCUAGCGGCAGGCUUAACACAUGCAAGUCGAGGGGUAUGUUUCUUCGGAAGCAGAGACCGGCGCACGGGUGCGUAACGCGUAUGCAAUCUACCUUUUACAGAGGGAUAGCCCAGAGAAAUUUGGAUUAAUACCUCGUAGUAUUAUGAAAUGGCAUCAUUUUAUAAUUAAAGUCACAACGGUAAAAGAUGAGCAUGCGUCCCAUUAGCUAGUUGGUAAGGUAACGGCUUACCAAGGCUACGAUGGGUAGGGGUCCUGAGAGGGAGAUCCCCCACACUGGUACUGAGACACGGACCAGACUCCUACGGGAGGCAGCAGUGAGGAAUAUUGGACAAUGGGCGCAAGCCUGAUCCAGCCAUGCCGCGUGCAGGAUGACGGUCCUAUGGAUUGUAAACUGCUUUUGUACAGGAAGAAACACUGGUUCGUGAACCAGCUUGACGGUACUGUAAGAAUAAGGAUCGGCUAACUCCGUGCCAGCAGCCGCGGUAAUACGGAGGAUCCAAGCGUUAUCCGGAAUCAUUGGGUUUAAAGGGUCCGUAGGCGGUUUAAUAAGUCAGUGGUGAAAGCCCAUCGCUCAACGGUGGAACGGCCAUUGAUACUGUUAGACUUGAAUUAUUAGGAAGUAACUAGAAUAUGUAGUGUAGCGGUGAAAUGCUUAGAGAUUACAUGGAAUACCAAUUGCGAAGGCAGGUUACUACAAAUGGAUUGACGCUGAUGGACGAAAGCGUGGGUAGCGAACAGGAUUAGAUACCCUGGUAGUCC
rnacentral:rRNA from 1 species